CCUCAAGGUUCUUGGCCUGAGCCAAUGGGCAGAACUGUCAUCAACUGAAGUGGGAGACUUGCUUGGUGUCAUUCUUAAAGAGUCCACACUCAGAGGCUAUGCCAUAAUUGGAACUGUCCUUAUAAAGUCACUCCAGUUUCUAAGGACAGAAUUCCAGGCAAACGUCUAUGGACCAAGAAAGGAUCAUGUCAUAACAACACUAAUAGAAUUAAGGACAUGAGUUUCAAGUACCCACUCUCUUCCUGGGUCCAAGGGAACUGAGGCCCCCCAGGAUCGGAACCACUGGUUUCUGCAAAGUAGGCAGCCAUGUUCAAGGAAAAUAAGCAAAAAGUAAGUCCCCACAUCAAAACUUGCUAUUAUGAAUGCAAAGUCUCGGAAAGCAAAAACGAGGAGCCAGGAGCUGACAGCUUUGUGAAGCAGAAUGCUGUUAAAGGAUAUCCAAGACACAGCUACAGAGCAUUAGAAUCCCAGGACGACCAGAAAAUGUUCUACAGAAACAAGGAGGGGACAACUUGACACAAAGGCAUUCUCCUCUAUUAGGAAGAUGCCAAUUUCAUAAAUCAAACAUCUAUUGACUGGAACUGAAAGCAAGUUAAUAUAACUUCAUCAAUUAUAAGAUGCUUUCCUCUCCCCUCCCACAGCUCUGAAAAAACUGAAUACACACUGCUGCCCAAAUAAAAGAAAGGGAAAUGCAAA